CCUACGGGUGGCUGCAGUGAGGAAUAUUGGUCAAUGGGCGCGAGCCUGAACCAGCCAAGUCGCGUGAAGGAUGACUGCCCUACGGGUUGUAAACCUCUUUUAUAAAGGAAUAAAGUGAGGCAUGUGUGCCUUUUUGUAUGUCCUUUAUGAAUAAGGAUCGGCUAAUUCCGUGCCAGCAGCCGCGGUAAUACGGAGGAUCUGAGCGUUAUCCGGAAUUAUUGGGUUUAAAGGGAGCGUAGAUGGGUUAUUAAGGCAGUUGUGAAAGUUUGAGGCUGAACCAUAAAAUUGCAAUUGAUACUGGCAGUCUUGAGUACAGUUGAGGUAGGCGGAAUUCGUGGUGUAGCGGUGAAAUGCUUAGAGAUCACGAAGAACUCCGAUUGCGAAGGCAGCUUACUAAACUGCCACUGACAUUGAUGCUCGAAAGUGUGGGUAUCAAACAGGAUUAGAUACCCGGGUAGUC
rnacentral:rRNA from 1 species